rnacentral:rRNA from 1 species
GUCGGCUCAUCACAUCCUGGGGCUGAAGUAGGUCCCAAGGGUAUGGCUGUUCGCCAUUUAAAGUGGUACGCGAGCUGGGUUUAGAACGUCGUGAGACAGUUCGGUCCCUAUCUGCCGUGGGCGCUGGAGAACUGAGGGGGGCUGCUCCUAGUACGAGAGGACCGGAGUGGACGCAUCACUGGUGUUCGGGUUGUCAUGCCAAUGGCACUGCCCGGUAGCUAAAUGCGGAAGAGAUAAGUGCUGAAAGCAUCUAAGCACGAAACUUGCCCCGAGAUGAGUUCUCCCUGAGACUUUAAGUCUCCUGAAGGAACGUUGAAGACGACGACGUUGAUAGGCCGGGUGUGUAAGCGCAGCGAUGCGUUGAGCUAACCGGUACUAAUGAACCGUGAGGCUUAACCUUACAACGCCGAAG